AACGAACGCUGGCGGCAUGCCUAACACAUGCAAGUCGAACGAGACCUUCGGGUCUAGUGGCGCACGGGUGCGUAACGCGUGGGAACCUGCCCUUAGGUUCGGAAUAACUCCCCGAAAGGGGUGCUAAUACCGGAUAAUGUCUUCGGACCAAAGAUUUAUCGCCUUUGGGUGGGCCCGCGUUGGAUUAGCUAGUUGGUAGGGUAAAAGCCUACCAAGGCGACGAUCCAUAGCUGGUCUGAGAGGAUGAUCAGCCACACUGGGACUGAGACACGGCCCAGACUCCUACGGGAGGCAGCAGUGAGGAAUAUUGGACAAUGGGCGAAAGCCUGAUCCAUCAAUGCCGCGUGAGUGAUGAAGGCCUUAGGGUUGUAAAGCUCUUUUACCCGGGAUGAUAAUGACAGUACCGGGAGAAUAAGCUCCGGCUAACUACGUG
rnacentral:rRNA from 1 species